CUUCGGGGUGUGACUGCGUACCUUUUGUAUAAUGGGUCAGCGACUUAUAUUCUGUAGCAAGGUUAACCGAAUAGGGGAGCCGGAGGGAAACCGAGUCUUAAUUGGGCGUUAAGUUGCAGGGUAUAGACCCGAAACCCGGUGAUCUAGCCAUGGGCAGGUUGAAGGUUGGGUAACACUAACUGGAGGACCGAACCGACUAAUGUUGAAAAAUUAGCGGAUGACCUGUGGCUGGGGGUGAAAGGCCAAUCAAACCGGGAGAUAGCUGGUUCUCCCCGAAAGCUAUUUAGGUAGCGCCUCGUGAAUUCAUCUCCGGGGGUAGAGCACUGUUUCGGCUAGGGGGCCAUCCCGGCUUACCAACCCGAUGCAAACUGCGAAUACCGGAGAAUGUUAUCACGGGAGACACACGGCGGGUGCUAACGUCCGUCGUGAAGAGGGAAACAACCCAGACCGCCAGCUAAGGUCCCAAAGUCAUGGUUAAGUGGGAAACGAUGUGGGAAGGCCCAGACAGCCAGGAUGUUGGCUUAGAAGCAGCCAUCAUUUAAAGAAAGCGUAAUAGCUCACUGGUCGAGUCGGCCUGCGCGGAAGAUGUAACGGGGCUAAACCAUGCACCGAAGCUGCGGCAGCGAACGUAUCACCCAAGACAACUUUGCGGAGUUGACGAUUGACGGAGCGAAGCGACGUCAAAGCGUUCAUUAAAGUCGAGUUGGCUUAGGGAUACGUUCGUUGGGUAGGGGAGCGUUCUGUAAGCCUGUGAAGGUGGCCUGUGAGGGUUGCUGGAGGUAUCAGAAGUGCGAAUGCUGACAUAAGUAACGAUAAAGCGGGUGAAAAGCCCGCUCGCCGGAAGACCAAGGGUUCCUGUCCAACGUUAAUCGGGGCAGGGUGAGUCGACCCCUAAGGCGAGGCCGAAAGGCGUAGUCGAUGGGAAACGGGUUAAUAUUCCCGUACUUGGUGUUACUGCGAAGGGGGGACGGAGAAGGCUAUGUUGGCCGGGCGACGGUUGUCCCGGUUUAAGCGUGUAGGUGUGUGUUCCAGGUAAAUCCGGUUCACUUUAACACUGAGGCGUGACGACGAGGCACUACGGUGCUGAAGCAACAAAUGCCCUGCUUCCAGGAAAAGCCUCUAAGCAUCAGGUAACAUCAAAUCGUACCCCAAACCGACACAGGUGGUCAGGUAGAGAAUACCAAGGCGCUUGAGAGAACUCGGGUGAAGGAACUAGGCAAAAUGGUGCCGUAA
rnacentral:rRNA from 1 species